CCCUUAGAUGUUCUGGGCCGCACGCGCGCUACACUGAUGCAUUCAACGAGCCUAUCCUUGACCGACAGGUCCGGGUAAUCUUUGAAUCUGCAUCGUGACGGGGAUAGAUUAUUGCAAUUAUUAAUCUUCAACGAGGAAUGCCUAGUAGGCGCAAGUCAUCAGCUUGCGUCGAUUACGUCCCUGCCCUUUGUACACACCGCCCGUCGCUCCUACCGAUUGGGUGUGCUGGUGAAAUGUUCGGAUCGGCCGUUUGUCGCGGUUUCCGUGUCAUGUGGCUGAGAAGUUCAUUAACCCCUCCCACCUAGAGGAAGGAGAAGUCGUAACA
rnacentral:rRNA from 1 species